rnacentral:rRNA from 1 species
AGAGUUUGAUUCUGGCUCAGAUUGAACGCUGGCGGAAUGCUUUACACAUGCAAGUCGAACGGCAGCACGGACUUCGGUCUGGUGGCGAGUGGCGAACGGGUGAGUAAUGCAUCGGAACGUGCCCAAUCGUGGGGGAUAACGUAGCGAAAGUUACGCUAAUACCGCAUACGAUCUAAGGAUGAAAGCGGGGGAUCGCAAGACCUCGCGCGAAUGGAGCGGCCGAUGUUAGAUUAGGUAGUUGGUGGGGUAAAGGCUCACCAAGCCGACGAUCUAUAGCUGGUCUGAGAGGAUGAUCAGCCACACUGGGACUGAGACACGGCCCAGACUCCUACGGGAGGCAGCAGUGGGGAAUUUUGGACAAUGGGCGCAAGCCUGAUCCAGCCAUUCCGCGUGCAGGAUGAAGGCCCUCGGGUUGUAAACUGCUUUUGUACAGAACGAAAAGCUCUGGGUUAAUACCCUGGGGUCAUGACGGUACUGUAAGAAUAAGCACCGGCUAACUACGUGCCAGCAGCCGCGGUAAUACGUAGGGUGCAAGCGUUAAUCGGAAUUACUGGGCGUAAAGCGUGCGCAGGCGGUUAUGUAAGACAGAGGU